UCUUAUCAUUCGUUGCCCCGCUCCAAUAUGGAAACCAUAAAUUUCAAUCAUCCGCAGAGUGCAGAUUCUCCUGUUCUCUAGAAACGCCGAACUUUGUUCGUUAUGCCAACCUAAAGACUGGACACGCAGGCAGAAUUUAGUCGGUGAAUCGUUUUGACUUAAACUAUAAUUCAGGCCAUACAGCGGAGAAUGGAAAAGGCCGAAUUUUGACUCUGUUCUCGCACUAUUAUUACGUUGACCGGGAUAUACGAGUUCACUGAUGACGUGGAUCAUGGGAAAAAGUGGUGCUGUCUCAAACUUUCGUGCAGGAAGCGUAACAGGGCAACAAAUUUUGCCGGAAGUAAGGCGCAUGGGUGGAUACAAAUUUGAUGACAAUCUCAACAGGCAGAUUCUCCAGUAUAAUCAAACAGAUUACCGUCAAUGAGUUAAAACUUCCGCUCGUGAAACGCUUCCGUACGGAACCAGGAUCCUUCAGGUAUAUGAAUAACCGCUGUCUGGGCCACUUACUGGUUUUUCGGGUAUGCGGAAUGUUUUAAUUUUUUUGUAAUUCCAUCUUGGAGAGCGGAACCGACCAGGCUACGCCAUGCAUUGCCUCCACACAACAGCAUUGAGGAUAUCUUUUUUAGUAUUAAUACUGUAUGGACUUGCUCAUCCAGUUGUUGCGGAGGAUUCUCGACUCUGGAGCCGGCUAUCGCAUCGGCAAAGAUGGAUUGUGGCCAAAAGGGCACCGCCAACAGCCGGCGCAAAGAAAGUCUGUGGGAAGCAACUCCGAAGCCUGUUUUCUCUGAUAUGCCAAAACCGUUAUCAAACCAAACAUGCAGCCAGUAUAGAAAUGGCUCGUCGGGCGCAGCUACCGGCCGUGAUGAAAAGAAAUCCGGAAUAUGCAACAGAUGACCAUAUUCUGCCGCACGACGAAGAUCCCGCUUUGGAUCCCGAUUCAGUAUUUCUGGAUGAACAGACCGCGUCUAUAUUUUUGCACCGACGAGCUGAUGAAAAGGGUGCUUAUUCCGAGUGCUGCUUGAAAGCGUGCACAAUCUCUGAAAUUGUUGGGUAUUGUCAUCCUGAUAUACAGAAAGGCGUCUACGGAAUAGCCAAUCCAAAGAUUCAGUGAUCUCAUUUUUUUGCACAUUGUUACCUGUUGAAGUUCGCAAUCUUGCUCUUUUCAAAUCUCGCAUACGUGUAAUGCUGAUUACGUAAAAUAUAAAAUCGCAUGCGGUGCAGUGUUAUUUUCCGUCCACGAUUCAGUGAGUAAAUUUUAACUAUACGGUCAAGACUAGCAAAAAAUUUG